rnacentral:rRNA from 1 species
CCCUUAGAUGUUCUGGGCCGCACGCGCGCUACACUGAUGCAUUCAACGAGUCUAAAACCUGGUCUGAUAGGGCUGGGUAAUCUUUUGAAUGUGCAUCGUGAUUGGGAUAGAUGAUUGCAAUUCUUCAUCUUCAACGAGGAAUGCCUAGUAAACGCAAGUCAUCAGCUUGCAUUGAUUACGUCUCUGCCCUUUGUACACACCGCCCGUCGCCCCUACCGAUUGAAUGUUCCGAUGAAUACCAUGGACUGAGAGUAUGAAUGGGUUCGCCUAUUUCUGCUUCUCGGGAAGUGGAGUAAAUCUUAACAUUUAGAGGAAGGAGAAGUCGUAACA